GUUGCAAAAGAAGUAGGUAGCUUAACCUUCGGGAGGGCGCUUACCACUUUGUGAUUCAUGACUGGGGUGAAGUCGUAACAAGGUAACCGUAGGGGAACCUGCGGUUGGAUCACCUCCUUACCUUAAAAAAGC
rnacentral:rRNA from 1 species